AGCAGCCGCGGUAAUUCCAGCUCCAAUAGCGUAUAUUAAAGUUGUUGCAGUUAAAAAGCUCGUAGUUGAAUUUCGGGAUCAAUAUGCUGGUCGUGCCAUUGGUACGUACUAGUAUUAUUGGUUUCUCCUUUCUGAUGAAUCAUGAUGUCAUUAAUUUGAUGUCAUGAGGAAUCAGGACUGUUACUUUGAAAAAAUUAGAGUGUUUAAAGCAGGCUCGCGCUUGAAUACAUUAGCAUGGAAUAAUGAAAUAGGAUGUUUGAUUCUAUUUUGUUGGUUUCUAGGAUUGACGUAAUGAUUAAUAGGGAUAGUUGGGGGCAUUAGUAUUCAAUUGUCAGAGGUGAAAUUCUUGGAUUUAUUGAAGACUAACUACUGCGAAAGCAUUUGCCAAGGAUGUUUUCAUUAAUCAAGAACGAAAGUUAGGGGAUCGAAGACGAUCAGAUACCGUCGUAGUCUUAACCAUAAACUAUGCCGACUAGG
rnacentral:misc_RNA from 1 species